rnacentral:rRNA from 1 species
GGCUCAGGAUGAACGCUGGCGGUCUGCUUAACACAUGCAAGUCGAACGCAACCUUCGGGUUGAGUGGCGGACGGGUGAGUAACGCGUGAGAAUCUGCCUUGGGGUCGGGGACAACCACUGGAAACGGUGGCUAAUACCGGAUAAGCCUUUGGGUAAAAGAUUUAUUGCCCCAAGAGGAGCUCGCGUCUGAUUAGCUAGUUGGUGAGGUAAAAGCUCACCAAGGCAGCGAUCAGUAGCUGGUCUGAGAGGACGAUCAGCCACACUGGGACUGAGACACGGCCCAGACUCCUACGGGAGGCAGCAGUGGGGAAUUUUCCGCAAUGGGCGAAAGCCUGACGGAGCAAGACCGCGUGAGGGAGGAAGGCUCUUGGGUUGUAAACCUCUUUUCUCAGGGAAGAAGCUCUGACGGUACCUGAGGAAUCAGCCUCGGGUAACUCCGUGCCAGCAGCCGCGGUAAUACGGAGGAGGCAAGCGUUAUCCGGAAUUAUUGGGCGUAAAGCGUCCGCAGGUGGCGAUUCAAGUCUGCUGUCAAAGCACGGGGCUUAACUCCGUUAAGGCAGUGGAAACUGAAUAGCUAGAGUGCCGUAGGGGUAGAGGGAAUUCCCGGUGUAGCGGUGAAAUGCGUAGAGAUCGGGAAGAACAUCGGUGGCGAAAGCGCUCUACUGGACGGCAACUGACACUCAGGGACGAAAGCUAGGGGAGCGAAUGGGAUUAGAUACCCCAGUAGUCCUAGCUGUAAACGAUGGAUACUAGGUGUAGCUUGUAUCGACCCGAGCUGUGCCGAAGCUAACGCGUUAAGUAUCCCGCCUGGGGAGUACGCACGCAAGUGUGAAACUCAAAGGAAUUGACGGGGGCCCGUACAAGCGGUGGAGUAUGUGGUUUA